rnacentral:rRNA from 1 species
AUUGAACGCUGGCGGCAUGCCUUACACAUGCAAGUCGAACGGCAGCACGGGGCAACCUGGUGGCGAGUGGCGAACGGGUGAGUAAUGCAUCGGAACGUACCUUUCAGUGGGGGAUAACGUAGCGAAAGUUACGCUAAUACCGCAUAUUCUGUGAGCAGGAAAGCAGGGGAUCGCAAGACCUUGCGCUGAUUGAGCGGCCGAUGUCAGAUUAGCUAGUGGGUGAGGUAAAGGCUCACCAAGGCGACGAUCUGUAGCGGGUCUGAGAGGAUGAUCCGCCACACUGGAACUGAGACACGGUCCAGACUCCUACUGGAGGCAGCAGUGGGGAAUUUUAGACAAGGGGGGCAACCCUGAUCCAGCCAUGCCGCGUAAGUGAAGAAGGCCUUCGGGUUGUAAAGCUCUUUCGGCCGGGAAGAAAUCGCACGGGCUAAUACCCUGUGUGGAUGACGGUACCGGAAUAAGAAGCACCGGCUAACUACGUGCCAGCCGCCGCGGUAA